UGUUUAAGUAGAUUAAAAAAUAAAUCGUAUCACUGAAGAUGAUGAGAAAAUUUGUAUGUUCUUAAACA
rnacentral:tRNA from 1 species